UCCCUGGUGGCUCAGAUGGUAAAGCGUCUGUCUACAAUGCAGAGACCUGGGUUCAAUCCCUGGGUUGGGAA
rnacentral:tRNA from 1 species